rnacentral:rRNA from 1 species
GUGGAUUAGAUACCCUAGUAGUCCACGCCCUAAACGAUGUCGACUGGGUGUUGGGGAAGCGAUUUCCCAGUACCGUAGCUAACGCGUGAAGUCGACCGCCUGGGGAGUACGGCCGCAAGGUUAAAACUCAAAGGAAUUGACGGGGACCCGCACAAGCGGUGGAUGAUGUGGAUUAAUUCGAUGCAACGCGAACAACCUUACCUACCCUUGACAUGUCCCGGAGGCUCCUGAGAGGGGGCUGUGCCCGAAAGGGAACGGGAACACAGGUGCUGCACGGCCGUCGUCAGCU